rnacentral:rRNA from 1 species
AACGAACACUGGCGGCAGGCCUAACACAUGCAAGUCGAGCGCGCCCUUCGGGGUGAGCGGCGGACGGGUGAGUAACGCGUGGGAACGUGCCCUUUUCUACGGAAUAGCCUCGGGAAACUGAGAGUAAUACCGUAUACGCCCUUUGGGGGAAAGAUUUAUCGGAAAAGGAUCGGCCCGCGUUGGAUUAGGUAGUUGGUGGGGUAAUGGCCUACCAAGCCGACGAUCCAUAGCUGGUUUGAGAGGAUGAUCAGCCACACUGGGACUGAGACACGGCCCAGACUCCUACGGGAGGCAGCAGUGGGGAAUCUUAGACAAUGGGGGCAACCCUGAUCUAGCCAUGCCGCGUGAGUGAUGAAGGCCUUAGGGUUGUAAAGCUCUUUCAGCUGGGAAGAUAAUGACGGUACCAGCAGAAGAAGCCCCGGCUAACUCCGUG